rnacentral:rRNA from 1 species
UACGAAGGGUGCAAGCGUUAUUCGGAUUAAUUGGGCGUAAAGGGUGCGUAGACGGCAUGUUAAGUCCGCUGUUAAAUUUCCCAGCUCAACUGGGAGCAGGCGGUGGAUACUGGCGUGCUAGAGGAUGGAAGAGAGAAGUGGAAUUCCCGGAGUAGCGGUAAAAUGCGUAGAUCUCGGGAGGAACACCAAUGGCGAAGGCAGCUUCUUGGUCCAUAUCUGACGUUGAGGCACGAAAGCGUGGGGAGCAAACGGG